GGAAGGGUGGCAGAGUGGUCGAUUGCACCGGUCUUGAAAACCGGCAACGUCGCAAGACGUUCCAGGGUUCGAAUCCCUGCCCUUCCG
rnacentral:tRNA from 1 species